rnacentral:rRNA from 1 species
GAUGAACGCUGGCGGCGUGCCUAAUACAUGCAAGUCGAACGCUGAAGGAGGAGCUUGCUCUUUCCGGAUGAGUUGCGAACGGGUGAGUAACGCGUAGGUAACCUGCCUGGUAGCGGGGGAUAACUAUUGGAAACGAUAGCUAAUACCGCAUAACAGUAGAUAUUGCAUGAUAUUUGCUUGAAAGGGGCAAUUGCUCCACUACCAGAUGGACCUGCGUUGUAUUAGCUAGUUGGUGAGGUAACGGCUCACCAAGGCGACGAUACAUAGCCGACCUGAGAGGGUGAUCGGCCACACUGGGACUGAGACACGGCCCAGACGCCUACGGGAGGCAGCAGUAGGGAAUCUUCGGCAAUGGACGGAAGUCUGACCGAGCAACGCCGCGUGAGUGAAGAAGGUUUUCGGAUCGUAAAGCUCUGUUGUAAGAGAAGAACGAGUGUGAGAGUGGAAAGUUCACACUGUGACGGUAGCUUACCAGAAAGAGACGGCUAACUACGUG